rnacentral:lncRNA from 1 species
CAAAUUUCUCAUUGAAACAGACAUACUUCGAGGCAACACAAGAUCUAGACAUGGGCUCUAAAAAGGAUCACCAUCUCAUAUUUGGUGCUACUCACCAAUUACAUCAUUCAAAGUAUUACUCCAUCCGUCCAUCCAAAGUACAGUAGACAUCAUGCAAUCAAGAUCAGAGCGGAGACAAGGCCAGGUUUGGAGGUUCUCUGGACUGCGUGAUCAUUUGGUCAUUAGUUCAUAGUAUAGGGUACCUUUGGAUCGGAGAUGGGUAGCUAGCGACUCAAGAUUCAACGCAGUGGACAUUUCUUCCUCGAUGCAUCCCGUUC